GCAGUAGAACGCUGAAGACUUUAGCUUGCUAAAGUUGGAAGAGUUGCGAACGGGUGAGUAACGCGUAGGUAACCUGCCUACUAGCGGGGGAUAACUAUUGGAAACGAUAGCUAAUACCGCAUAACAGCAUUUAACCCAUGUUAGAUGCUUGAAAGGAGCAAUUGCUUCACUAGUAGAUGGACCUGCGUUGUAUUAGCUAGUUGGUGAGGUAACGGCUCACCAAGGCGACGAUACAUAGCCGACCUGAGAGGGUGAUCGGCCACACUGGGACUGAGACACGGCCCAGACUCCUACGGGAGGCAGCAGUAGGGAAUCUUCGGCAAUGGGGGCAACCCUGACCGAGCAACGCCGCGUGAGUGAAGAAGG
rnacentral:rRNA from 1 species